GACGUCGAAUAUGGACGUCAUAAACACCAAAGUUGAUCGUGUUUACGACGUCGAAUAUCGACGUCAUAAACACCAAAGUUGAUCGUGUUUAUGACGACGAAUAUCGACGUCAUCAACACCAAAGCUGAUCGUGUUUAUGACGUCGUAUAUCGACGUCAUAAACACCAAAGUUGAUCGUGUUUAUGACGUCGAAUAUCGACGUCAUAAACACCAAAGUUGAUGGUGUUUAUCACGUCGCAUAUCGACGUC